AACUUAUUUAAUAGUUGAUCAUUAAGACUUUUGAGCUCAUAAAAGUGAAAAUCCCAAGGCGAAAGGCCAUGGGGAGAUACCGUAUGUGAUCCAUGGAUCUCUGAUCGGGAAACCGUAUCCAAUCCCCGUGGCUCAUCCGCGCUCCUUGGACUUGAAAUACUUAGUGAACUGAAACAUCUAAGUAGCUAGAGGAAGGGGAAUCAACCGAGACCCCGCUAGUAGCGGUGAGCGAAAGCGGAUUGGGCAAAUACUAAGCAGCGAAGGUUUUCGUUUCGAUCUUGGUCUCAUUUUCCUAGCCUUGCCUUCUCUGCGUGAUUCAUUUCAGUUCAUUGGAUGAUGGAAGAACCAGGCAUGCCAAUGCUUUUCCCUUUGAUUUAGGCUAUAAGGUAGGCAGAAUUGUGAAUGAAAAGGUUGGAAGAUCUGGCCAAAGAAGGUGAUAGCCCUGUAGAGAGUCCCAUGGUUCGAUUAUGUAAGUCAAACGCAUCGUGUUUGAAUUAGGAUCGCUUCUACGCGAGAAAGGGGGACCACCCUCUAAUCCCAAGUAUUCCUCAAUGACCGAUAGCGUACAAGUACCGUGAGGGAAAGGUGAAAAGAACCCUAGGAAAGGGAGUGCAAUAGAAAGAAAUCCGAUGCGAACAAUCAGUCGAAGGAGCGAAGCUUCGGGUAAGAUUCUUAGGGUCUAAUCUGAUCGAAAAGACCCUCUCCCUUUGGUCGAGCAACUUCGUCCCUCACCCACGACGGGUGAGCCAACUUCGUUCCUCUAUUUGUUUCAAAUACCUGAGCAGAGCUCAGGGUUGGGUUGACCUGGACGCAGCUCACCCUAACGGCGUACCUUUUGCAUAAUGGGUCAGCGAGUAAAUGGGAACAGCGGCUUAAGCCAUUAGGUGUAGGCGCUUUCCAGCCAGGGAAUAUCCCAGUUGUGACUAUUUGACCCGAAACCGAUCGAUCUAGCCAUGAGCAGGUUUAAGAGAGCUCCAACAGGCCUUGGAGGACCGAACCCACGUAUGUGGCAAAAUAUGGGGAUGACUUGUGUCUAGGGGUGAAAGGCCAACCAAGAUCGGAUAUAGUUGGUUUUCCGCGAAAUCUAUUUUAGUAGAGCGUGCGUAUAAUAUGGCCCGAGGUAGAGCACUCAAUGGGCUAGGGUGGCCCAAAGCUUUACCAACCCCAAGGAAACUCCGAGUACAGGCUUAAUCAAUCGUACAGACAGACUUUGGGUGCUAAGAUCCAGAGUCGAGAGGGAAACAGCCCAGAUCGUACACUAAGGUCCCUAAGCAAUCGCUUAGUGGAAAAGGAAGUGAUCGAGCGAUGACAACCAGGAGGUGGGCUUGGAAGAAGCCAUCCUUCGAAGAAAGCGUAAUAGCUCACUGGUCUAGCUCCAUGGCACCGAAAAUGUAUCGGGGCUCAAGUGAUUCACCGAAGUGACGAGACCUUGGAAGCGUUAAGCGGGCUCUAAAGACCCAAGGUUCUUUAUUGCUCACCCAAAGAAUCAGGGUGAGGAGAGCGUUUAUCUCAUCUCGACCAAAGGGAGAGGAGGGCGAGUAAGCGAGGCGCCAACCAAGUGUCAGUAGUGGGACGUUCUGUCAAUCAGGGAAGGGACAACACCUGGAGAUAUCAUAAGUGAGAAUGUUGACAUGAGUAAUGAUCAAUCAUGUGAAAAACAUGAUCGCCUGCUAGUUCCAGGGUUUCUGUGUUCAGUCAAUCUACGCAGAGUGAAUCGGUCCCUAAGGAACCCCCGAAAGGGCUUUCGUCCGAUGGGUACACGAAAGUGACGAAGUUGCCCCGACUACUGAACCAUGCGUGUCUGUUGAAGUGAAUUGGAUGAGAGUUCGAUUUUCCUGCCAACCAAAUUGAAUGAAUGCAAAAGCACACUUCUGUUAGGGUUUCAACUUCUAGGAAAGAACUUCGAAUUGGAAGGGCGAUCCUCCCGAUGAACUAACCGUACCCCAAGCACACUUCUGUUAGGGUUUCAACUUCCAGGAAAAAACUUCGAAUUGGGAGGGCGAUCCUCCCGGUGAACUAACCGUACCCCAAACCGAUACGGGUGAACAAGUAGAGUAUACUAGGGCGCUUGAGAGAACCAUGUUGAAGGAACUCGGCAAAAUGACCCUAUAACUUCGAGAGAAGGGGUGCUCUCCCUAAAGUUAUAUUAAAGUUGUGAAUGACAUUAAACACAUGUCAAAGUUUAAGAAGAAAAUGAAUAGGCAUGAUCACUAACACUUUGAUAUGAAUCUCAGAAGAAAAUGAAUAGGCAUCAUCACUAACACUUUGAUAUGAAUCUCAUCAUAGUAAGUUAA
rnacentral:ncRNA from 1 species